ensembl:lncRNA
GGAGGAGGAGGAGGAGGAGGAGGAGGAGGAGGAGGCAGAGGAGGAGCUGGUGGUGGAGGUGGUGUAGGAGGAACAGGAGGAAGAGGAGGUGGAGAAGGUGGUCUUCAAAUUUGCAACAGAAUUUUUUCGUAAUGCCGGGGAUUUUUAAUGAUACCAUAAACGUCAGGCUGGUGGAGCCGCACAACCACCACCUCCAUCUCCAGCCCAGACCCGAACCACAAGCUGCCCAGUGUGUGAGGGCCCUCCCUCCCUCACUCUCCUGACCUCAGAGACAGACCCCAGGCCAGCUGGACACACGGCCUGAAAGCCCACACAGCCACCACCACCA